GAGCUUUCUACCGAUAUCAAUGAACGCGCACUAUCAAAUUCAUGCAAUGGGCCAUGUCAAAAUUUCCCUGGAGGCUACAUAUGCACAAGUUGCCCUCAUAGAAAAGAGUUUGAUCCCAUAAAAAGGCAGUGUGUUACAUCGGUGAAGCAACACCAUCUUCUUUUGGGUAUUGCAACUGGAACUGUAUGUGGCCUUGGCUCCAUAAUUAUUGCAAUCUUUGUAGUUUUAUUUGCCAACAAGUGGAAGAAAGGCAUCCAAAAGAGAAUCCGGCGAACACACUUCAAGAAAAAUCAAGGUCUACUCUUGGAACAGCUCAUCACAGAUGACAGCGCCACAAACAAAACAAAAAUAUUCUCCUUGGAGGAGCUAGAGAAGGCAACCAACAACUUCGAUGCCACUCGUGUUCUUGGUCGUGGAGGACACGGUACGGUUUAUAAAGGGAUUCUAUCUGACCAAUGAGUGGUGGCUAUUAAAAAGUCCAAAAUUGUGGAGCAAACUGAGAUAAACCAGUUUAUCAAUGAGGUUGCUAUCUUGUCGCAAAUCAUUCAUCGUAAUGUAGUAAAGCUAUUCGGGUGUUGCCUCAAAUCUGAGGUUCCUUUGCUCGUGUAUGAGUUCAUAUCAAAUGGUACACUACAUGACCUUCUUCACGUUGAUGUUGGUGUUAAAUGCUUGCUGUCAUGGGAUGAUCGUAUUAGGAUUGCAGUUGAAGCAGCAGGGGCACUUGCUUAUCUGCACUCGGCUGCUGCAAUACCAAUUUUCCAUAGAGACGUGAAAUCUUAUAACAUACUAUUUGAUGGCAGCUUCGCUACAAAGAUUUCUGACUUUGGUGCUUCAAGGUUUGUUUCACUCGAUGGAACUCAUGUGGUCACUAUUGUCCAAGGAACAUUUGGUUACCUAGAUCCUGAGUAUUACCAUACUGGACAACUAACUGAAAAGAGUGAUGUGUAUAGUUUUGGGGUAAUACUCGUGGAACUUUUCACGAGGAAAAAGCCAAUUUUCAUCAAUGAUCUAGGUGCAAAACAAAACUUGUCCCAUUAUUUCAUGGAAGGAUUGCAAGAGGGGGAUAUCAUGGAAAUAUUGGAUCCUCGGGUUGUUAAAGAGGCAAACCCAGAAGAGAUCGAUGAUAUUUGCUCACUUAUAGAAGCAUGUUUGAGACUCAAAGGAAGAGAUAGACCUACUAUGAAAGAGGUAGAUAUGAGGUUGCAAUUCCUGAGAACCAAGAUGCUAAGGAAAUGCAAAAUUCUCCCAGCUAGUGAUCAAGAAAUUGAACAUCUGUUAUGCCCAGAGAUUAGCAAUUCCAAUGCACAGAUGAACGUUGACAAUACUGGUAAUUUAACAUCUGAAGGCAUCUCCAGUUGCUACAGUCUAGAGCAAGAACUUUCAUCCUCAGUAACUUUGCCAGGCUAA
rnacentral:rRNA from 1 species